UACGUAGGGCGCAAGCGUUGUCCGGAAUUAUUGGGCGUAAAGAGCUCGUAGGCGGUUUGUUGCGUCGGCUGUGAAAUCCCGAGGCUCAACCUCGGGCCUGCAGUCGAUACGGGCAGACUAGAGUGUUGCAGUGGAGACUGGAAUUCCUGGUGUAGCGGUGAAAUGCGCAGAUAUCAGGAGGAACACCGGUGGCGAAGGCGGGUCUCUGGGCAACAACUGACGCUGAGGAGCGAAAGCGUGGGGAGCGAACAGG
rnacentral:rRNA from 1 species